GCGUUGCAAGCAACCUAGAGGUCACGUGUUAUUCGUUUCGGUACAGGCUAUAUUUACGGAUUAUUCCUUGAACGUUGUUUAAUUUCAUUAUAAUUUUUGUAAUAUUUUCGUUUUCUUGUUGAUGUAGAUUUUGAAAAUAACGGGUUAAGCGUAGCAAAAUAACGUGAAUAUCUUCCAGCAAAAACUAUCAUUUGCGUACGCAAAUUGAACGAUAUCGUGUGUUUUAACCUUUACAAUUAAUAAUUUAAAUAAAUCUAUAAUAUAAUCCACCAAUACAAUUCAAAACGUUUCAGAAUGAAAGUUACAAUAAAAAGCUGGACAGGUGUUGCCACCUGGCGUUGGAUAGCGAACGAUGAUAACUGCGGAAUUUGUCGGAUGCCUUUCGAUGCGAGUUGUCCGGACUGCAAAAUUCCAGGGGAUGACUGUCCUUUAGUUUGGGGCCAGUGCUCGCAUUGUUUCCAUAUUCAUUGCAUCAUGAAGUGGCUGCAUUCUCAGCAAACCAGUCAUCUAUGCCCUAUGUGUCGUCAAGAAUGGAAGUUCAAAGAGUAAAUGUUUUCUCGAUGUUCCCGCAGGUGUCAGCACGCACCAAAUAAUCAGAAAGUACCGCAUAAUUUGGCCUUCUUCGUUGGAAUUAAUCAGGAGAUAGAGUUUUCCUCGUCUUCUUGGAAAGCGUACCACGAUUUGUUGGAAAGGGGGGGAGAAAAAAAGGAAGAGAGGAGCUGCAGCGUUCGUUCGAUUUAAGAAUUCAACGAUUAUCGCGCCGUUCACAUUUACGACUUCGGUUGCCGACUACGAAAGUUGUUUACGCUCACAUUACGCGUCACACACAUCAGUUGAUGUGCCGAACGAGAUAACACGUAGAUGAAAGAAUAUCCGGUUAAUACCAGCACUGAGCGAGUUGCCUACCUGAUGCCCCCGAGAACGCGAGCUCGAACAAGUCACGUGGUCUGUUGAACGCAAAGGAUGUUUCUGGGAUCGCGAAGUCAGUAUUCGACGGGCCGUCCUCCGAGCUGGAGGAAAAGAGACGGAGGUGAACGAGAACUUAUGAUCUCACGAAGACCCCUUGUGGAAACAGGCAAACAGAGACGGAGAGAGGACUUUGAAGAGUAGUAGUAGUAGUAGUAGUAGUAGGGAGGAUAUCUUGCGAAGGAAGCCGCUCUCGAUCGUUGUUGGAUACCGCAACACUCUCUUACCGAUAUGCGCUAACCGAGAACGGGGAUAUCUUUUUGAAAGUUCUUUUUCUGUGGUUUUCUUUCUUUCUUCCUGUUACGUGAAUUAUUUGUCGAGCGACUUCGAAAGAUUCCACAUCGGUUUGCUUCGUUUCCUGAUACACCUUUUCGCUUAAUACUUGUGAUAAAAUGGAUAAAGAAUUUUUGCUGAUUUUAUCGAAUAUAUUACUCGACGAGAAAUAAAUCACAAAUCUGAUCCGAUCGAUUAGAAAAUUCUUCGUCUGACGGCGAAGAAGGAAUCUGCGUUUAAAAGAGAAAGAGAAAAUAUAAAAGGAGGAACGAAGAGAUUUGCAGGUAA
rnacentral:misc_RNA from 1 species